rnacentral:rRNA from 1 species
GCAAGUUUGGUGCCAGCACCCGCGGUAAUUCCAGCUCCAAUAGCGUAUAUUAAAGUUGUUGCAGUUAAAAAGCUCGUAGUGGAAUUUCGGGAUCAAUAUUUCGGUCACUGCCGUUGGUAAGCACUGUUAUCAUUGAUUUCUCACCUUCUAAAGAACCAUAAUGCCAUUAAUUUGGUGUUACGGGGAAUUAGGACUGUUACCUUGAAAAAAUUAGAGUGUUUAAAGCAGGCUCACGCUUGAAUACAUUAGCAUGGAAUAAUGAAAUAGGACAUCCGAUUCUAUUUUGUUGGUUUCUAGGAUCGAUGUAAUGAUUAAUAGGGAUAGUUGGGGGCAUUAGUAUUCAAUUGUCAGAGGUGAAAUUCUUGGAUUUAUUGAAGACUAACUACUGCGAAAGCAUUUGCCAAGGAUGUUUUCAUUAAUCAAGAACGAAAGUUAGGGGAUCGAAGACGAUCAGAUACCGUCGUAGUCUUAACCAUAAACUAUGCCGACUAGGGAUCGGAUGAUGUUAAUGUUUUAAUGACUCAUUCGGCGCCUUACGGGAAC